GGCCCAGGAGUGAUAAGCGUGAACUAGAGAGUGCUGUGCAGGAGGAAGCUGGGGCCGCCGUCGGGCCUUCUCCCUCCAGGGGCCCAAGAGCCACUGGUACUCAGUGUCUGGGUGGGGGCAGGGGGGAUUUUUGUUCUCCCAGCACCUGCGGCUGUUGAGACCAGAGAAGCUGGUGGUCGACCACAGCCUGGGGUAUUAGUUCACCCCUAGCUUCUCCCCAGCGAGACCCCAGGGCCCUUGGGCACAGGGGAUUAAGCCUCUAUCUGCUUACGUGCAAGCGGAAGAAAUAGGCCCAGAGAGCAACAGUGGCGGGUCUGCAGUCACACAGCCAACUUGCGCUUGUGGCAGUGGCAAGGUUGGUGAGUAUCUGAGUCUUCAGGCCACGGCAUUUUCCGCUCGAGUGGAGCCUGAAGUUCUGAGGGUACCCCUCACUCAAGCUCCAGGCGUCAGGAAAAGAACAUUCCACGAAGUCCAUCUGGAAGACGGUCCUUUCCCUGCUGCCCCCAGCUGCAGGUGGAUGCCAACUUGGGCUGGGGCCAUCUCCAAGGUGUCCUCCCUCUCACGGCCUGUGCCUGGGCUGGGAAGAUGUGAGCAGAGGUGAACUUUACAGGUGAGGCUCCCCGGGCACCUCUCCAGCAUGGUGAGGUCAGGGUAGCUGGUCUUCUAACGUCAUCUUGGGGCUCCUAAGUUGUGUGCCUCAAGCCAGGCAGAAGCUGUCACACAUUGUCCCUUUUACUACAUUCUAUUGAGGCAGCUAUAAAAAGUUACAAAGGGGGCCGGGUGUGGUGGCUCAUGCCUGUAAUCCCAGCACUUUGGGAGGCUGAGGUGGGUGGA
rnacentral:lncRNA from 1 species